rnacentral:rRNA from 1 species
UACGAACCGUGCGAACGUUAUUCGGAAUCACUGGGCGUAAAGCGCGUGUAGGCGGGUCGGUGAGUCGGCCGCUGAAAUCCCCCGGCUCAACCGGGGAAGGGGCGCCGAUACGACCGGCCUGGAGCGACGUAGGGGGAACUGGAACUUCCGGUGGAGCGGUGAAAUGCGUUGAGAUCGGAAGGAACGCCCGUGGCGAAAGCGAGUUCCUGGACGUCGGCUGACGCUGAGACGCGAAAGCCAGGGGAGCGAACGGG